GCCUGGGUGGCUCAGUCGGUUAAGCAUCUGACUUCGGCUCAGGUCAUGAUCUCACAGUUCGUGAGUUUGAGCCCCGCAUCAGGCU
rnacentral:tRNA from 1 species